ensembl:lncRNA
CAUGUGUUGAAACGGGGAAGUCAACGCUGGUUACUUGUAUAAAGGCCACUGAGGGGGGCGAUUUUUGCUGAUAGUGUUAACAUGUCCACAAUGGAAAUUUAUUCCGGUAGUUGCUUACGUUUCCGUCUGUAAACAGAGAGCAUAAAUCAUGUGGAUACUGAAAUGUUAAUUGCUUUUCAGCUACCUUUCAUUCAGGGUACUUUGCUCCACAGAGAACUAAAUACCAUGUCCUCGGGUCUCAUCGCUAUGUUUGGAAAAACAUGUUCCUUCCGGAGGCCAAGUCAGGCAUAUGAGAACAUCAUCUUUCCCGUCGACCACCCCUCCUGUUUUCAUCCUUUUUUCCUCCGGAGUGAUACCGUGUCUUCUGCCUCUCUGCGCGGGUUAACAGAAAGUUGAGGCGGAGUUCAAUCAAUGCUCCGAAUUACCAGACGAAGGAGGAUGGAGCUGCCCAUUACUACGGCUGACCCACUUAGGGUCUGGUCAUAAGAGCUAAACAAAGUGAGUCUCCAGCCAGCCUUGGGAAGCCAUGUUUUCAGAGUAAAACAAGUUUUUCUCAUUAUUGCCUGUCUGGCGAAGUGAAGGCUGAGAGAAUCAGACAUGAGCCACAGAAAAACUUCAUAUCCACUGGAACCAAAAUGUUUUUUAUGACAUCAAGGCUCAAUCGUGGUGAAAUUCAACAUUAAUGUACGUACAUCAUGACUCAUGUGACACAAUAGCUGCUUUUGACUUCUCACUCAUUAAAAACACAUCAAAACUGUGAAAAUGAUCAACUCCUUAAUUCUUCUGUAACGCAAUAAGCUCCUUAUUGUGUUUCUUGUGAAACCAGGCGUAUUGUAUCAAAAGGGGUGGAACCGAGUUAUUGCCCUGUGUUAAUUAGAGUAAUACCAUAUUGCUGCUGUGCGGGAAAAGAAUAAAACAAGUUUCUCUCAUUAUUGACUGUCUGGCGAAGUGAAGGAUGUGACCGAGUUAAUUGAAGUUGAGUGGAGUGAAUUUCAAAGUUGACGUCGAGCUGCUGAUUGACAAACGAGGAGGAUGUUUCCUACAUGGUUAAACAUGAUAUACACAAAAAGCCAGAGAUGUGUUUUUCUUUUCAAUUGCAUCCGAACCCAAGAUUAGGGAAAUUUUCAAACACUAUGGGAUCUUUAAAUUGAUUAAGGCUUACUUGUAUUUCAUAAUGAAUGAGAAAGUGAUGUCUAGAUUUUGCACCCUAUGGCUAAUGAGCCUCCAGGGAUAAAGAUAUCUUUGUCAGGCCGCGUAGAGUGCAGGACCAGCCCGGUGGUUGGCAGUGGAGGAUGGAAUUGCACUAUGAGUGUGUGUGUAGGUGUGUGUGUGUGUGUGUGUGUGUGUGUGUGUGUGUGGAUUGCAAGGCCUCAUUAGGGCCACAAUCACAGGCAAAUAAAACCUCAGGCCACACCGAGACAAUUUGAUCCGAGAGUACCAUUGAUUUCCAUCCAAAAUGAAUUGACGCUCACAGACAGUCAUAAACAUUGGAGCAUUUGUGCAUUGUCCCAAGGCAAGCCAGCCAUAAUAUUCUUUAGUUAAUGUACUUUUUCCUGCACAGCAGGAAUAUGGUAUUACUCUAAUUAGCAAAGCUAAACAAUUAUUUCCAUUUCAAAUACAUAAAAAACACAAAGGACAUUGUCUACGUACAAAAGAAAUUGGACUUACAUGCACAUGUCGUGCAAUUUUAAUUCCACCCUAUAUAUAUUGUUUGUAUUAGGUAUGAAGCAGUGCUUACCUUGAGGCCAUGUUCUAUGAAACCAGUCUUUGUACGUCAUUCAGUGAGAAGCUUGCUCAUUCGUAUGCUAAUGUCAUGCGUUAAUAUUUGUUCCUCUGAUUUGCAAUAACCCAAAGUCCACCUCCUCUAAUAAGCCAAAUGAAUAAUGCACAAGCGUAUACAAUGUUUAGAAAUGCAUAUCUUUGGAGAUGAAAAUCCCAGCCAACCUUGGCUGAGUGUUAAUGGCAAGAGACUUUUGUUGCCGGUGGCCCAGUAAAGUCCAGUAAAGAAUCCAGCCUCUGAUAUCACAGGUAACGCUUAAUGCUAACAGCUAUGAAGUCAUGUUCGAUGGGCUGGAUGUGCAUUUGUUGAAAUUGCUUUUCAAACAGCAUUGCCUUGCUAAAGAGUGCACACUUCCCAUUGGAAAGAUCCGAGUCAAACCGAGUGAUGAAGUUUUGCAUAUUUCUUUUCCCAGACACUUUUUAUCCUCACUACCGAGCUCCUCUUCUUUAUUUAAAAAAAAAAACUGCCAUUAAUGGAAAUCUGAACACACCAUGCAUGUAGCUGAGAUCCAGGCCAUGAAGUGCUUCAAAAGUUAUUAGGAAUAAAUAUGAGUGAUUCCAUGACUGUAAGCUGAGGACAGUCUGGAGCCAGUUUCUUUUCUUUUCUUUUUAUGUAAAGGGGGCGUGCGCAUAUUAAUAAGCAUUUCUGUAAAUUUGCCAAUUGGUUGGUAAUGUCUUCAUCUAUGCUAAAAUAGACACUUUUAUUUUUUAUCAACACCAAUGAAACAACAUAAUUACCAUUCAAUGUUGCGGUUGGAGAAAAUUAUGAGAAGUUUCUUAUUUGAGACAAAUUGAGUGUGGAGGUACGUCUGAGUGACAGCUUGAACAUCUAACAAUGGUGCGUGAUUCAUAUUGUCCAAAACAAGGUAGGCAUGCAAUGGACGUGGACCAAUGCAGAGACCUGGCCAGUGUCCUUUGGUUUUGGAGAUCAAUAACAAACACCUGAGGCGUACCUGAUGUUUGAGCUCCAGUACCCAGCGUCAUUAACAUUCACACGAAAAACAGCUUGUCAAACUUGCAGCCUUCAGGAGAGAGAUGAACUAAUUCAGUGCUGUUGCAGUUUGCAAAACCAAAAGCUUCAUUCUGUUAAUCAGUAAACAAGAGUCAUCUGUGUCAUAAGCUGCAAUCAGGUCAAGUAAUAUCAAAACAAAGCGCACACAUUCAUCAGCAAGUCACUUGUCAUCUUGAGAACAUUACUUUCUUUGCUAUAUUGACGAUUAAUCAUUUGCAUUUUGAAUGAAAGGUACUAGAGAGUGCAAAAUAUCAUUGGUCUGAUGCCCAAGAGAGGCGGGAAUUUUUUGGGGGGGCUACAAUUGUUCCGACACGUGGCCACAUUACAGACACAUGCGCGCAUACACGGACAUGCACACGCUUGCACCAGCGAACAGGCAGCACGCAAACGACAAAUAACUUUUUUCACUUAAAUCAGACACUUUCCGCCGCACCCUUUGAAAAAUAAUCACGUCACUGCAGUCAAACUUUAAAACAAAUGUACAUAUCUUUCUCUGCUGUGAUCUGCCUUUUUUUAUUGUUGAAUGGACACAACCCACAUCGACCCCAUUCCCCUCCCGUUUUUAUCAGAAUCAGCUCGCCAUGGGACCUUCAACAUCUUUCUGCCUCUUGCCGUGUCCGUGCUCCAUCUGGGCAAUAUUCUCACGUGACUAAAAGAGGCGAAAAAGGAUGACUUCAUGAUGAAGUCACGUCUAUUCAACCCGUCACGUUGUACGCACACUGUGGAAGGAAAAUGUUGGACAACAAUAAAAACUAUUGGACAGUUUCGAUUCCUUGAUUAAAAAAACUUCCUAAGGCAAAAACCAUAGUGGUGCGAAAGAGUCACUAAUGUGUAAGUAUUUUGGAAAUAAGAAUUUAGUUCCAAAUGUUUCAAAUUAAAUAUUUUUGUGAAGUGGUAAGCUAUCAGUUUUUAAGUUGCUUUUACAGUUUUAUUGAUCUGAAUAUAGUGUAUUGUGGCCUUUUUGUUUCCCAAUAAAGUGCACAGAAAUAAGAAAAACACUGUCUCAUUAUGUGUUUUUCCCCCCUCUGAUUGUUACAGUGUAAUUUAUCAUCUUUUUUUUAUAGAACAUGGAGAAUAAUAAUCAGAAAGCCUUCCAUUUCAAAAUUAACAAUCUUAUUCUCAGCACAGUAAUAAAACCUAAUAGCAGCAGGAAAGCAGAUCCGUAUUAAAGCUUGAACAUUAAACAUUCCCCACCCUCCAUCUCCUCUCACAUUCACUAUCUCAAUUUGAGAUGCAUGUUUUCAUCAGCCCCCACAUGUUUACAUCACGUAUACAUCUCUCAACCAGUCUGUCACCUCCCCUCGUCCCUCCAACACAUAACAUUCCUUCCUUAUAAAGAACACAUUCCACCCUCCCCUUGUGCAAGGAUACCCAUCUGCCCUGGAGCCAAAAUUCCAGCCAUGUUUUGUGGGAACAUAGUGCUCGUCUUUGGAGAGCCUCCCCCUGAGAAGGCCCGGGCCUCCCCAUCCUCCAGACAGGCCAACAAAAGAAAACGCCACACAUUAUUGAGGGAGCAGACACUGAAGUCUUUCUUUUAACCCCUGACAGGUACUGCCGCGCUGUUAUCAAGAUGUUAAUGGAAGCGGUGUUUGACACUAUUGGGAUUUCAGACGUGUGCAUCUUCAGGGUGAACAGGCCGGGUUACAUCAGCCACGUUUUGACAUCGCGCAUUGUUGAAUAUUCAUGAAGAGACACAAUCACUUAAAUAUCAAAACUGCCCAGGAACAACAAAUGCGUGUCCCCUGCGUGACGCUCCGGUGGACAUUUAAAUGUAAAUGGAUCUCUUUUUCGUCUUUCUCUUUGGAGAGAAGGGGAGGGGACUCUCGGGUGCGAUACAUUACCUCCUUCCCGGCUCGAUCGAGCAGGCAUGAGAAGAUGUCAGAGAUGGGGCCUCAGGCUGCUCUGGUACGGCUCAUCCUUAUCUGCACAGAUGAACUCCGGGGGCUCCGACCUGGCAGCCGUCAUCCAGCUCCGGAGCAGAGCACACAGCCCCCUAAUGAAAGAAGUGCAGAGCGGCAGUGGGAGCACUCACAGGCUGCCGCCACACUCUGAGUGGCUUUCUGCAUGGCGACCGGAAGCAAUCCCUCAAGUGUGUGCGUCCAUAAAACCAAGAGGCAAUUUAGAAUGUCUUUUAGCACAAAUGAUCGAGUGUUCACUUGUUCUUCGGAUGCUCAUUUGGUUGCAUUCAUGCAGUGCUAGACACUGGUGGAACCAGUGAAUUUAAUAAGAUUUACUUUGUGGACGGUACAAUUUUCAGGUAUUUUCUAUUGUGCUUUUUACGCCUCUACAUUUACUUCACAGGGAUAUAUCCAUAAUAUCAGUGAAAAUUCCCAAAAAUAACAUAAAUCUUAUUGCAAAACAUUUUUUUUUCUGCUCCUAUUCCAAUAAUCAACUCAGAGACCUGAGCCCUGGGUUUGGUUCUACUGGAUGUAACCACUCUUACACUAUGUGUAAAGUAGUUAAAACGAGCUGUAAAUAGCUGCUUAGACAUGGAUGCAUGAGUUUUGACACUAAAAACUAUAAAGUGACAUUCAAGUGUCGGCCUUUUUAACUUUUCAUCAUUUAAAAAUAGGGUUGCUAGUGUUUCUGAGAAUCGUUUUUAGUUAUCUUUAAUGAGAAUUCCUUACAUCCUGGCGGCGAGGGAGGUCUAAAGGGACAGGCUGUCAGCGUUGGUGUCCUUCUUGUUAGGUUUAGAGACUUCUGGAGAGAGAGCUAUUAACUGCUUCCCUUGGAAAAGAGUUGGUAACAUUGGGCUGUUUUUUUUCUAAUUCUUUCUCGUUAGUUUCUCCAUUCUUCAGUUUUAAGUAUAUUUUGCAAAUAAUGUUGGUGCUUUUACUUAUUGAAUCCAAACCAUAUACUCAUGAUAGAGUAUCGUACAUCUUGGUGAACUUUGGCUUCAUUAAAAAAUCUACUUCUUUCACUGCUGGUGUUGGUACUUUUUUGUGGUUCUAUUUUAGUGGAACUGUUUGUAGUAAUCAUGUGAGCUCAUGAAAUAGGACAGUUCUACAGUAGCAUAUAAUAAGGCAUUUCUCAGCAUCUGUGAUUGUUUCUCAGCAGAUGCAUUGCAGCACGUCGGAUCCUGUUGCAAGCUAAAGGAAAGAGGCGAUGAAAUCAUUUCCUGUUUUCAACUGUUUGGUUCCCCGGCAACGCAGAGUAGCGACUCGGGACACGACAACUUCUAAAGAGCUGCUUUGAUCCUCGAACCUUGCUUACUAAUAACCCUCAUCACACACCGUAAAUGAUAUACUAGAUUAGCACCGUAACAUUUAUGAAACGGUGCUGUCAAGCCAGGCGCUGUUAUUGAUCGGUAAAAAUGGAACAUUUGGUCCGUCACUGAAGUCCCAGACCAAUCAAUGGGUCUUGAAGUCCAUUAAUCAGGCAUAUCUGACGGUGCUUGGGUUUGCCAUGACCACAUUUGCAUUAACAAGCUUGAGCAGCAUCUUUGCCUAAAACACAGUGUUGAAAAAGACACACAAAGCAAUACAUCCACUAAUGCCUUCCACGAUCCAAUCUAUAUCCAGUGACAAGAAUAUCAACAUGUAAAGUCUAAUAUAGUGGAUCAAUACUCAGUGUAUCAAUAUUCUCCAUCAAGACCCAGUGAAAACAUCAAAUGGCAUCAAUGUGUUCAGCCUCAAAGCCCUGAGAUGUUCUAUUAACAGUUUCGCACAGCCAUUUAAAUCAGUGGAAGGAGAUUGAUUCGGAGUCAUGAAGUGUAUCGAUGAUAGCUGCUUUUUUAUGACAGGAAUGUUAGUAUGAAUAACACAGCGACAGUCUUUUCACUGGCUCCUUUUGAUGCUGGAAAAGAGUGUAAAGCAGAGAGUGACAUUUAAUGGCUGAGUCUCUUAGGAGGAGGCAGGCUUGACAUAAUGUUUAUUUGUCUUUUUCAGGGAUGAAUGUUUUACAAAGUGAAAGAAAAUGUCACUUUCAAUGGCAGAAAGACAAAAAGCAAGCAUUUGCGUCAUAUUCAGAUAAUUCGAAAGGUGAAAAGCUUUUAAAAUUGCAUUUAAACAUCACUUUGAAUGCAAGAGGUCAUUCAUUGAAUAAUGUCUAAUGGCCUAAUGGAGGAUAUUCCAUCAAAUCAUCAAUCACAUGGACAACUAACAGGGAUUCAAAUUAUUUACUUAAAGUGGCAUUUCUAUUUAAAGCUCCUAAUUUUGAUAUUUGAGUAAAAGUAUAGUAGAAAACUAUUUUAUGCUAACAGUCACCAUACAACACCAUAAAUAAACCAAGUUAACAACCAGCUAAAGAGCCAGGAAAAUGUCAUAGUUUGGGUUAAAUAACUACGAUAUUCGAACUACGUGAGUGUGAGAAAUAAAUAAAUGAAGACUUUUUCUUUCAGAUGGGGGCGAACAAACAGCAUUCUCUAUGCCGAAAGACACAUCCACCAGCCAUGUGCUUGCUCGCUUAUGAUCUUGGCAUGACUAUGAAUUUAUUUUCCUAUGAUUAUGGCGCAUUCAAUUUUGCUGGAAUAGCUAUGAAUGCUGGAUGAGGUCCGCCUGACCACGUAGGAGAGACAUGAAGCGCACUCACAGCACAGUGCCCUAAUAAUUGAGACCAAUGGGUUCAAAUGUAACAAAAAACGUUCUUAUUAAGGAAAGUCUUAAAAAAUCUAGCACAUCAUCUCAUGCUUGAAGUCAAUGUUGAUAUAUCAAUAUCAGCUUUUGGUUACAGUCUGCUUUAAACAAAUUGCUUUGACCUCCUAGUCAUGAAACGAAAACAACUGCCUCAUGCUUUAGUUGCUAUGUAUUAAGGCCAUUGUGACCCAGCAAGCCACACAAGAUGGAGGAUGACCGGACGCACUGGCUGGCUGACUGUAUGAGCCAUAAUGGUGCAGGAAGCAGGCUGCAAAAAGAAUAACUAGAGAGUCUAAAACAACGGACAUCCACCCAGCGAAAAAACAGAAGUGACUUCAGCUUCUGUUUGUUCCUCCAUCAUUCCUUGUGAGCGGUAAUUGCACAGCGAAACAUCCUGUUUUGAGUCACCUAACUCAAUAGAGUUGCUGCCGCAAUAAACAAUAAGAAUAUUUCCUAAGCUGUGUAAUGGAAAGAAUGGCGAGGAAAUGGGUUGUGACAGAAGAAUGUGGCAAUUGAGGUUAAUGUAGCCUAACAUUUUUUAUGCGCCUUCUACAACAUCCAUAUUUCUUUGUCCUAAACAAGAGGUCAGGCCGACACGCUGCUUUGUUUAUUCUGCUGUAAAGAACGGAAGGUAUGGAUGAAUUGAUAAAGAUUCCAACUGAGGGGGUGAUUUAUGCCGGGAACUUGCUCGCACGGAGGCCUGGGGUCAGUUUCAGAACGGUGGUCAAGGUUAACUGUGAGAGCCGAUAAGUUUCCAGACAGAACCUCUCACUGGAAAUACGGUUUUCACUGCCGGAGCCAUUAAACAAAGUAAGAAAAGGGAAUCGCCAGUCCACUAAUUUUUCCAACACGCACCUAAGGGCUCAAACACAAGCAGAAGAAUUAGAUGCAGCGAAGGCGUGGGGGGUGGUUGUGACAACAGGAAGUGACGCAAAGAGGCAGGUGCUGCUUCCUGCUGCUGAGAUACAAGAGUGGAGAAGGAAGGAGGCGGGAGAUUGAAGGCGGGAGGGUGGGUGGUAAGGGAUUUGGGCUGGCAGAUGGCGACGCUCUCACUGUGGAGGGAAGCGAAGCCGAGCAAAGCUACGAGGGGAAUGGCAAAGAGUGCGGACAGAGGAGGAAGGAUGUAAGUCGGUCUCUGGGGGAGGAUGAGGUAGUGGGGUUAUCCACCGGCUGGGCUGGACGUGCUCACUGCCGUCUGGCAACAUACGAGCCACGCAGGGAGGGUCAGAGGGAGUCUCUGCAACAGCAGGAGAUCGAAAAGCCCAAGAAAGAUUGGGAGAUUCGAGGCAUAUCCAAGGAUAUGCGGUGGUAUUUUAUCUUAGUUUACUGAUCGACUUAAAGACACAGUUAGACCUUUUGGGAAAUGCAUUCAUUUGCAGCUCUGUUGGUUUGAUGAGAAGAUUGAUACCGUUCUUCAGUAAUAUGUUGUCAAUCUCCUACAUCUAAAUCUCAAAAAGAAAGCCAUUUGAGCAAUUUGAGCAAAAAUGUCAGACUGUCCCUCUCUCACUGCAACGCACCUGACAGGGACACUUUCCAAGCCUCUUUUUGGGGGGAAAGAGCGAGCUGAAAAGCGCAAUCAGCUUUGUGUCGAACAAAAAGCAGGUGUGUGAAGAUAUAGCUGCAAGAGCUGAGCAGAGAGAGAGGGGGACUGGUGGUGGUGGUGGUGCUGAUGGAGCGG